CAAGUGGACUCUUUCCUGAACUCUCCCUUGACAAGUGAACUCUCCCCUGAAGGAAGGUCCAUUCAUUCCACUUGAAUGUGAGCCAAGGAGCGGAGACAUAGGAGCGACAGACCAGCUUGAACGGUUAAUUGUAUUAGACAAGCAUGUGGACUGGUAAACACACAUGGCAGGACUGGGUGUAGAUGCCCACUUACCAGAUUUGUAACCUAAUUUUCUUUCCUCUUAGCUCUACGGUUUUGAUUUUAAAGUCAACACCUGUAAAUAAAACAGACGAAGAUGAAGCAAAAACAAUGCAAUUCGUCAGAAAAAUACUACUACUUGUACAUUUUUAUGCCAUUAUCAGAAAAACCAAAAAAACUGAUCACACUAAAUCCUAAAAGGAGAAAGCAGAAGUUUGCCAGUAUGCGUAACGACCAUCACUCUGUGCUUCCCGGCACAACUGAAGAGCCACGGUCACAGCAAACAGUGGUUAAGCCAAUUUCACUUGCAGUUCUGGAAAAGCUUUGCUUUCCCGAGUCAACUGACUCUCAGACAGCCUUGAAACAGGAAGCAUGUCUGUACACGACCAACAUCCUCAAAUAGACACCAAGCAGAAUCCUUCAUGACUCAACCACAAGCAAGAAGCAAAAUAAAAGCAAAAAUAACACGGCGGCCCAUGCCUGCGAUGACAGCUGAGCGUCCCUCCUCCACUCGCACACCCGCCCCCAACAACGAGGACCUGCAGUUGGCACCAGACUACGAUUCUAGUUUACUUAACAUGGAUGAUUUCACAGACUCUGAAAUAGGUCUCAAUUCAAGCAGUGGUUACGACGUUACUGCCAGUUUAUAAUAACUAUCUUAGGUGCACACACUGGCUUUUCUUCCAAGGACAUCUAUCCUUGACGGUGUCGCCCAAUCCUGGACUACUGAUGGAGAGGAUUCCCAGCAUUUCCACUGAGUUGACAGUGAGAAAAGAAACUAGGAAAUGUGUCAAGGUCACACAGAUAGAGGCAAAUUUAACAUUAGGAAACCCUCUCUUGAACAUGAGGCCAGCCUUCUGCCUGACCACCGCCUUUCAGGGAGAGCGCCCGAUAAAGGGCAGGCAAUGCAGACCACCUUCCUGUAGUACUGACCCCAGGGGGCCCCCGAACCUCUGAAACCUUACCGUUUAAUAUUAUGGGGGGCUUUUCCUACCUAAGCCGAGUUAUGAGAAUUCAACGAAACGGAAACUAAGUUACUGUAACUGUAAAAUACUUUGAUCAUCUCAGAAGCAGGUACUAUUGAAAUAGUUUAAAUGACUGCAUGUCAUUAAAAAAUGCUCUCAGGUCUGAGGAUAUUAAAUGUCCACCCCGAGACUAACAAGACCUGCCCCUCUCAGUCCAGACUGGAUGGCCUGCACCUCAGCAAAGACCACCCACCAUCCCUGACCCGGACACACGCAGGAGAUGGCCGUGCACUUGGCUGGAACAGACAUGGACACACAUGAACUUCAUCCGGCAAGGAGAGGGGAGUCUGAGGUCAUGCACUCCAGAGGGGGUGCGUGUUCGUUGUCAUGAAAGUUUCACGGGCAAGGAUGUGCUCCCCUUGCAGACAAAGAACAAUGUCUCCCGGGUUUACUGCGUAUAGUAACUCAUUGCAGGGAUCUUCUUGAUGCUUUUAUAGGUAGAUACUGUCAUUGUCCCCAUUCUACAGAUGAAACACUGAAGCUUGGGCAGCUGGUACCUUGCCCAAGGUCAACAGGUGGGUAAGUGUGAGAGCACAGAUUUGAACCCAGGCAGUCUGGCGCCUCCCAGAUCUCUGCACAGCCUCACCUGAAGGCAAGAAUGGAGGCAACUACUGGGAGGGAGCUGUAAACAUGUUUUUAACGUCAAAAAAGGAAUUCUGCAUUGCCAGGGAAAUAUACAAAAAAGCAAGAGUGAGGGACUGGCCGGCUCAGACUGCUCCCAAACGAGCAGGCCUGGCUCUACCCUCUGGCUACACACAGACCCUGGCUGAAAAGCAGGGAGUCAUUUCAACCUCCUGGUCACCAGAGGAAGAGAAUGUUGAUGGGGGAGGAAGAUCUGGAAAAGAAAACCCCCCAGAUGAUCAAAUGGCAGAUCAGUAACAUUUUCUUCACUUGCUAAAUACUAAGUUUACCACUGAUCAGAUGGGCCCAUAAAAUAUGCCGGGAAAUUCAAGGGCCUUUCUGCUUUACCCAGGUCCUGUGCUUACACUUUGACACUUCAUGCUCACCUGUACGUAUUUCAGUAUGCAGCCUUAAAGGAUAACAAUUAUAUUUUGGAGUGUUGCAGAGUUUUUGCAUCUGUAGUAUAAUUUAGGAGGAUAAGGGAACAUCUAUAGUUGUCUUCUCUGGUCCAGGUACAUAAGCUAUUUCGUUCCUGUAGCACCAGAGAGGAACAGAGUGUGAGUUCUAUUUUUUCUUUUCAUGAAGGAGGAAACUGAAGUUAAGGUGCUGCCUAAAGACAGUGACAGCUUGUGAGUAGAGCUGGGACUUAAAUCCAGGACUGUCUGCCCACCCCCCCCAAGCCCACACUCUUCUUCCCUCUCACCCCCACCCCCUGCCGGGAGCUUCGAGAAUGACGGGAGUGGCCAAGGAGACAGUCCAGUGUCUUAAAUGAAAAGCCAAAAGUGAAAGUUUGGUUGCGGGUGCGUGAUUGUGUAGCAGGCCUAGCUUCUGCGUUACAUUACGCUGGAACAACGAGGAGACUCGCGUUCCCGGGCAACUCCCAUCACCAGCUUGCCGGAGGUGGGUCUGCAAGUUGUGCUUUGGUUUUGUAAACUAAGAAGGCCUUAGGUCAGCACUAGACACCAAACAGAGGAGGCUGUCAGAUGUGGGGGGAAAAGGUUUCCUGCGGCAUACAAUGUUCUCUUAAGCCUGUGUUGUAUUUUCUGGUUUUAAAGUUCAAGGGUUUAAAAAAAAAAAAACCCAUCCAAUUAAGGGCACUCUUUUAGGCUUAUAGUUCUGGCUUUCCAAAUCCUUUCUGAAUAUCAAAGCUGUGCAACUAAAGGACAAAAGGAGAAGAAUCCCCUUCCUCCUCUGUUAAAGUGUAGCUUUUUACAUCCUCCCUAACAUUUUUUUUUUCAUGGCCCUCUUCGGGACUCACUUCCCCUUCUGAAAAGGACAAGCCAGGUGAGCAGGUGAGCUUCCUGCACCAUGAAAUGGCCUGCGGAAUGGAGUCUUAAAGAAGUACGAGCAGCCUCUCAUGAAAGGCCUGCUGACUAGUGUACAAAACUAUGCUUUCCCUACAAAUUCAAGCAAACGCUUCACAAGAACGAUGUUUCUGGCAUGCAAGCCUGGAGAAUAAUUUGGCCCUAUCAGCUCUCGAAGGAACCCAGGCUGCCUCCUAAAGCCAGUCCACAGACCCUCGGCCGAUGGUUCCGCAGAGCCCACAGCUGCAGGACAGGCAAUCUUGAAGAAUCCGGAUCCCUAUCAUCGAGCAUAAGCAGAACUUUCUUCUGCAGUGUGAGUGCACGACACUGAAAGAAAGGCUGAAGGCACAUAAGCCAGGUCUUUAAAUAGAUUUUUAUUCAACCUCAACAACCGGGAUCGCCAACUUUCCACACUUAUUUUGAAAGACAGCUACUUUAUUUCCACAAAUGCGCUCUGCACAGCCUAUCAGGUGCCCCGGGUGCAUUAAAUAAGCCAAAUCACACACUGCACAGCAUACGCUGGCAUAGAAACUGACCGUUCCUCUUCCACUCCCUUCUCCCUGAGUCAUCUUGUUACAUCAUCCCGGCAGGGGAGGGGCUGACACUGAGAGCUUCAGAGUCUGGGCUUCGGAGUGGGAAUUCGGACGACUCUCCCUAACUCCCUCGUUGAGUGAAAACACUCGGGCAGCUCAGCUAUGGCUGAAAAGACUGUACACAAUCACAGAAAAGCAACACAAAACACACAGCUUAUCAUUUUAAUCCAGUAUGAAACGAUCAUUCUGGGUUUCUGAACAAAAAUCUGUGACCUAAAUUUCCAGAAUAAAGUACAAGCAGUCGAUUUCCCUUGACAGCAGCUCCACUGCUUGUAGGCAAAGCGGACCAGAACCUGAUGGCCUGCAUCUCAUCCGUCUCGUCCCAUAACAUUCAAGGCCAAUCCACAGACAGCCUGUCCUGCACAGGAUUUACGUCCACCUGUUCCUUGGACCUCUCGAUUCUGCUUCCGGCUCUACUGCUGGCCCUGAUGAACCAGUCACCUGCACCACGACGUUUCCCCGCCCUGGGAACAAGCUUCCCGAGUGCACAUGGGACCCGAAGAGGUGCGCACUGAGAACAGAGACCACGGCACAUGACUGAGUGGGAACAGCGCUUCCAGCAAGUGCUAUCAACCCUCUAAGACCACUUACUCUCAGGGGCCAGGCUGUGAAGUUUAAUGCAUGGAUGCAAAAGGAGAAAAAUGAAGACAGAGUAGUGAGGUUCUCAAACUGAAUUCAAAAGAACUUUUAAAUUCUGAUAUUCUGUCUUUCCUAAUUUUUUGGGUCUACCUCAUGUUAAGUCUUUUUUUUUUUAAAGUCGGUGGUAGCGGAUUGUUAAAAAAUGUCCUUACAUGGCAAAGUAAAAGAAAUGGCAAUCCUAUGUUGGCCUCCGGCACUUUGAAAGAAACUUUACUGCCCAGGAAAUGAGAAUUCUGGUCCAAACUGUCUCACUCCUCCUUUUCCUCUAUUUAAAUAUAUUUUAAUAAAUACAUAAAAGGCUUAA